UACCGUUCGAACAGGGCGGUACCUUGACGGUACCUAACCAGAAAGCCACGGCUAACUACGUGCCAGCAGCCGCGGUAAUACGUAGGUGGCAAGCGUUGUCCGGAAUUAUUGGGCGUAAAGCGCGCGCAGGCGGUUUCUUAAGUCUGAUGUGAAAGCCCCCGGCUCAACCGGGGAGGGUCAUUGGAAACUGGGGAACUUGAGUGCAGAAGAGGAGAGUGGAAUUCCACGUGUAGCGGUGAAAUGCGUAGAGAUGUGGAGGAACACCAGUGGCGAAGGCGACUCUCUGGUCUGUAACUGACGCUGAGGCGCGAAAGCGUGGGGAGCGAACAGGAUUAGAUACCCUGGUAGUCCACGCCGUAAACGAUGAGUGCUAAGUGUUAGAGGGUUUCCGCCCUUUAGUGCUGCAGCAAACGCAUUAAGCACUCCGCCUGGGGAGUACGGUCGCAAGACUGAAACUCAAGGAAUUGACGGAACCCCCGAGGAAUUGG
rnacentral:rRNA from 1 species